UCCAAAUUAUGCUUAAGUGGAAACUUAGUUCUUCAACUAUGAGGGGUGUUAUUUCAUUGAAAUGUGUUGCUGUUGUUCUGUUGAAAUAAAACAAGAACUUCAGCUUCCAAUACACCUCCUCACCCUCGGCCCAAAUCUGCAAGCUCAAAAACAGUCGAGGAGUGACAGUGCCAGACACAGGGAGACAUCAGACAGUGUUUUUCCAUGGAGAACCCAGCCCAAGUCCUCUGGCUUUUAGUCAACCAUGAAGAAAAUUAAAUGGGUGACCACAGAAUAAAAACAGCUCCUAUAAAACUGAUAACUGAGCAGGCAAAAAUCAACAACAGUUAUCAUCCACGGCUGUUGCAGUUACUGUGCCCACUGAGAGAUAAACAGAUUCCCGUAAUGCAGUCAUCAACUGUCCUUGCCUGUGAAGAUUUUGAUUUCCUGAUCUCCUGCCCUUCCUCUUCAGAUACACAUCGUCAAGCUGGACACCAGGUAAACAUCAGCACCCAUUUUGUCGCUAGAAGAAUAAACUCUGCUGGGCAGGUCAGGGGACCUGUAACUGUUACGUUUACAUGCUAUAUCCAAAAACGGAGUAACAAAUGCGACACGGUAUUUUCAGUGGUUUUGUAAUAAAGAAUGAUUUCUGCAGCUCCCUACUUUCCAGCAGGGAUAUGGAGUUCAGAGCAGUUUCACUCACUUGCUAUUCACUCCAAAGAUCAUUAGCAGCUUCAACCUGUUGCCUCUGAUUCACCUGCAGGUUAGAGUAGGUUUCUGAUACAUCCAUUCAACAUUUGAAAAGCUAUUCCAUCAACUCUAAAAGAUCAUUCUUAUUAAAAUACAUUUUUUAAAAGAUAAACUCAAAGAAAAGAG